rnacentral:rRNA from 1 species
UUAGUCCUACGGGGCGCAGCAGUGGGGGAUAUUGCACAAUGGGGGAAACCCUGAUGCAGCGACGCCGCGUGUGGGAAGACGGUCCUCUGGAUUGUAAACCACUGUCCCCAGGGACGAAGAUGUCGGUACCUGGGGAGGAAGCUCCGGCUAACUACGUGCCAGCAGCCGCGGUAAUACGUAGGGAGCGAGCGUUGUCCGGAAUUACUGGGUGUAAAGGGAGCGUAGGCGGGACUGCAAGCUGGGUGUCAAAUCUACCGGCUCAACCGGUAGCCGCACUCAAAACU